rnacentral:rRNA from 1 species
UACGUAGGGGGCAAGCGUUAUCCGGAUUUACUGGGUUUAAAGGGUGCGUAGGCGGCGCGGUAAGUCGGGUGUGAAAUCUUGGAGCUUAACUCCGAAACUGCAUUCGAUACUGCCGUGCUUGAGGACUGGAGAGGAGACUGGAAUUUACGGUGUAGCGGUGAAAUGCGUAGAUAUCGUAAGGAAGACCAGUGGCGAAGGCGGGUCUCUGGACAGUUCCUGACGCUGAGGCACGAAGGCCAGGGGAGCAAACGGG